CUUCAUUAUUUUAUAGUUUCUCAUACUAUUGUUGUAUGUUCCACUACCAUUACAUAUUCUAUCACUGGUAUCAGUCGGCCAACAAGGGGCUAGUCUACAAUUCAUAUGGGAGAUGGGUGCAGCCCUAGAGGGAUUCGGAGGAUAUUCCCUCGCCCUACAGAAAUGAGCCCAUGACUUGUCACAACUAAGGCUUGGAAUU
rnacentral:lncRNA from 1 species